CCUACGGGAGGCAGCAGUGGGGGAUAUUGCACAAUGGGGGGAACCCUGAUGCAGCGACGCCGCGUGGGUGAAGAAGCGCCUCGGCGCGUAAAGCCCUGUCAGCAGGGAAGAAAAUGACGGUACCUGAAGAAGAAGCCCCGGCUAACUACGUGCCAGCAGCCGCGGUAAUACGUAGGGGGCAAGCGUUAUCCGGAUUUACUGGGUGGAAAGGGGGCGCAGACGGCGAUGCAAGCCAGGAGUGAAAGCCCGGGGCCCAACCCCGGGACUGCUCUUGGAACUGCGUGGCUGGAGUGCAGGAGGGUCAGGCGGAAUUCCUGGGGUAGCGGUGAAAUGCGUAGAUAUCAGGAGGAACACCGGUGGCGAAGGCGGCCUGCUGGACUGCAACUGACGUUGAGGCACGAAAGCGUGGGGAGCAAACAGGAUUAGAUACCCUAGUAGUC
rnacentral:rRNA from 1 species